GCUCUGGGCAGCUUUUUGUGGACUUUUAACUGCGACCUUGCCGACCCUCACGGUUCCGAGGGUAGGGAGAGUUGAGACCCCCUGGAUCCCGGCACUAAGCUACCCGGAUUCUAUUCAAAGCUAGGGCCCAGGGCUGGUUCGCGCGCUCCCCCUGCUGGAAACCGCCUGUCGGGCUCAGAGGCGCAGGGCAGCGGCUGGGGUACCUUGGGCCGGGAGGUUCUGAGGCUCGAACCGGGGCCAGGACCGAAGCCUGCGCGGCUCCCGGUUCUUCAUCCCGCGGUGCGACAUUCCGAAGUGGGACAUGCUAACCCAAGCAACAAAGCUUUCGUCCCCAUGCCCACCACUCAGCGGACGUCCCAGGAAUCUGCAGCCUCUUCACCCCCGCACAACACAGGCACAGUCCUCGCUUUGCACCCCGCUGUGUUUCCCACGCCGAGGGCACAGUUGGCACCUUCUGGAUACUCGUACCCAGGCUUGGACCGGAGAAGAGAAUGGCAACCCACUCCAGUACCCUUGCCUGGAAAAAUCCCAAGGAUGGAGGAGCCUGCACUGGGUACAGGUAUGAUGAGAUGUUCCACUGAGCAUGCUCCUAUAUGUUUGUGUACUGCCUCUCCAGUAGGAAGAAAGGCCUUGGCCCUCCCCCUAAAAUCUCUCUUCAUUCCUCCUGUACCUCCCACACACCAUGGCACAG
ensembl:lncRNA